GUGAUUUAGGGCUGAUUAGGGGUUCUCUUCCUUCACGGCCAAACCCAGUUUUGGGUUCUUCUCCUUUCUUUGUUCAUUCUUUCUCUCGGACAAAAGUCAAUCCUGAGACUCUUCUUCUCUCACUAGAAGUGGAUUAGGGGAGCACGAGCACCCACCUUCAUCUUCUCUUCACUCAAUUUCUACAUCUUCUUUUGUUCUCGGUUCGUGCCGCAAGCGGAGAAGGCUUCAUUUCUCUUCUCUUUGUUGGUUCUGGGUGGGGGUUUUUGCACGUUGGGGAUGUGAGUUCGGGUGGCUAGGAUGCAAACUCCUUUCUCGCGACACAGUGAGUCUUGCAGCAGCAGCACCUUUGCGAUGGCUCGAUUCUUGACGUAUUUGCGGUGCCAGAGUCCUUGUUUAAUGGCGUCAUUGUGAAGAGCGAACGAGCGUUUCGCGGUGUGGUGGUCUUUGUUCUCCGGUGUUUCUACGGCGAUAAGGCUUGCGUGGGGAUGCAUCGCGGUUUUGAGGAUUCAUACGGAAUUCCGAUGGGAC
rnacentral:sRNA from 1 species